rnacentral:rRNA from 1 species
AACGAACGCUGGCGGCAGGCCUAACACAUGCAAGUCGAGCGAAGCCUUCGGGCUUAGCGGCGGACGGGUGAGUAACGCGGGGGAACGUGCCCUAUGGUACGGAAUAGCACCGGGAAACUGGGAGUAAUACCGUAUGUGCCCUUCGGGGGCAAGAUUUAUCGCCAAAGGAUCGGCCCGCGUUGGAUUAGGUAGUUGGUGGGGUAAUGGCCUACCAAGCCGACGAUCCAUAGCUGGUUUGAGAGGAUGAUCAGCCACACUGGGACUGAGACACGGCCCAGACUCCUACGGGAGGCAGCAGUGGGGAAUCUUAGACAAUGGGGGAAACCCUGAUCUAGCCAUGCCGCGUGAUCGAUGAAGGCCUUAGGGUUGUAAAGAUCUUUCAGUGGGGAAGAUAAUGACUGUACCCACAGAAGAAGCCCCGGCUAACUCCGUGCCAGCCGCCGCCGUAACAC